rnacentral:rRNA from 1 species
AGCAGCCGCGGUAAUUCCAGCUCCAAUAGCGUAUAUUAAAGUUGUUGCAGUUAAAAAGCUCGUAGUUGAAUUUCGGGGUUAGUAGGUUGGUCAUGCCUCUGGUAUGUACUGGUCUCACUGAUUCCUCCUUCCUGAUGAACCUUAAUGCCUAUUUUA